rnacentral:tRNA from 1 species
GGGGAGGUGCCAGAGUGGUCGAUUGGGGCCGCCUGCUAAGCGGUUACCGGGUAAAACCGGUCGAGGGUUCGAAUCCCUCCCUUCCCG